AUUGAUUGGCGAACCAUCUCAAUUGCAAUCCGCGUUUUUAGGGCUAAAACUUCGGAACAAAGGGCUGCUGUUGAUUUGGAUACCCACUACUCAAAGGAAUAUCUUGAGGAAUAUGUUGGAUCUAGCACCCGGAGGGCAGUACUCCACCGAGACUAUGUAAAAAGUAUUACAACAACGGGACUGCAGUCCAACUAUGGCUUUCAGGUUCAGAUAAAUGCUUGCUGGAAGCAUAGGAUGACAGGAACAGAGAAUUAAUCCGUUCUGCAGCACACAAGAUCACACCUAGAGCUCAGUCUAGUCAUGGUUUGUGCCGAUUUUGCUUGGCACAAACCUCACAGAGAUACUGACAGAACGGUCCCCUCCAACUCCCAAUAUCAAAGAAGUUUUCGAAGUCUCGAAUGCGUAUCCUAACGAGGUCUUCCCAAGAUAUCAUUCAGGUGAAAAAUGGGUACUAACUGUGUAAUCCUUCUUCAUCUUGGAGGCCUGCACAUCUGAUACUUGAGUGAUACUUCAAUGCAUCAACUUUAUGUCUUGAUUAGAGAGGUCUCGAGGUUGCGAGUAAGAAGUCAUGCAGGGAGGCCCUUCUAUUUUUUUGUAAGUAAAAGAGUUUUUGUACGAUCCAGUAAUUGUCAUAUACUACCGUAGGCGGAUUGGGAUGAAUUCGCAAGAACGCAAGGGAUCCGAUGCAAGUGUCCAAGCAGUCUUGUGAGUAUAACUUUCGACUGUUCCAGUAGAAUAACCAUUGAUCCCUGCACUCUCAGUUUUCUUGCAUAUGCACUUGCCCUACAUAGUCCUAGGAACCAGGUCCAUGAUGCAGUCUUGUAUAGUUUGGGAUGAUUCGCAAUGAUGGAAAUUCACAUUCUCUAUGUGCGGAGCAAUGACUAACAUGCGCUUUAAGAGUUAUUACGAAAAUGUAUGACCAAAUCACUCUCCUUUUGCAAAUUUGUUAGUAUUAUAA